GACGAACGCUGGCGGCGUGCUUAACACAUGCAAGUCGAACGCUGAAGCUUGGUGCUUGCACUGGGUGGAUGAGUGGCGAACGGGUGAGUAAUACGUGAGUAACCUGCCCUUGACUCUGGGAUAAGCCUGGGAAACUGGGUCUAAUACUGGAUACGACAUGUCACCGCAUGGUGGCGUGUGGAAAGGGUUUUACUGGUUUUGGAUGGGCUCACGGCCUAUCAGCUUGUUGGUGGGGUAAUGGCUCACCAAGGCGACGACGGGUAGCCGGCCUGAGAGGGUGACCGGCCACACUGGGACUGAGACACGGCCCAGACUCCUACGGGAGGCAGCAGUGGGGAAUAUUGCACAAUGGGCGAAAGCCUGAUGCAGCGACGCCGCGUGAGGGAUGACGGCCUUCGGGUUGUAAACCUCUUUCAGCACGGAAGAAGCGAAAGUGACGGUACGUGCAGAAGAAGCGCCGGCUAACUACGUG
rnacentral:rRNA from 1 species